UUCUUGAUUUAUUUGUGUAUGCAUACAUUUAUGUGUGCUAUACAUUUUAUUUCGAGAUGAUAAUUGUAAAGAAUAUAAGGCAGCGGCCAGACAACCGUAGAGAUGGAUUCCACAGAUGAACAGCUUUUCUCGUUCUGUUUGUCUACUAAUUAAAUCUCACAUCU
rfam:Daucus carota subsp. sativus cultivar DH1 chromosome 3, whole genome shotgun sequence.